GGAUACAAGCCCUGAGAGGAAAGAUUCUGGAAGAAGAAGAGGAUCUUGGGAUUUGACUGGUUUUAACUGUCACUUUGGAUCUGACUUUCGACUGAGCUGGAAGGAGGAUCUUUGCUCUGGCAUUUCCCUGGAAAUCCUGAUCUUGUGGAAAGAUUUGGAUAUUCCUGGGUGGGAGCUCUGCCUUGGAGGAAACCUGCUUUUCCCUCGGGUAUUGAGAUUCACCUGUAUGACAGCUACCAGCCAAAGACAACUUGGCUAAGAAAACAGAACAGGCACAUGUCCACACAUACAUAUGCAGGUGUAUUCAGAGGCAGAUCCACAGAGAUAGCAAAGGAGAGAGGAGGAGGAGAAAGAGACUCAGAGAGAAGAGAUGGAGACCUUGAGAAACAGAAACACACCAGGUGUCUUCUAUGGACAAGAAGGGGGAAUUUGGCAUGUUUGCCUUUUUUACCUACAUUUCCAAAAAAUGACAAGGAUCAGCCUUUUUUUUUCCCCUCCAGUCCAUGGUAUUGAUUAAGGUAAUAAAUAUAUCUUCUUGAAAUUGAAAUUGAAGU
rnacentral:lncRNA from 1 species